CCUCAGACUGAGACUGGGCUGGAAGGAGCCGGGCCUCCCUGCUGGCCUGGCCUGGGCUCGGCCCGCUCCAACCCUCUACGUGCCGACGGUAGAGCUUUCUUGUAACAUCAACAAAGCAGUGAAGGCAGUGGAGUCCUGGACCUUAGCGCUCAAGCCGUGGGGACUCAGGAGCCCAGGAUUCCAGUCCAGAUAUUGGAAGAGGCCCCAUAUGGAACCCCUGAGAAGCUAGGGCUCUGAGAAACUAGCCCAGGGGGAUUUUGGACUUGGAACUUGAUAGGAUUAAUGAAUGCCACCUACAAACCAAGCUAAAAUGUGAUAAAGAAACCGAAGGCCAGAAAUCUGAAGAUACUUGACCAGUGUGACACAGGUAUUUGGUGAGAUUGGAACACCAGUCUGCUGAUUCCAAUUCCAAGGCUCUGCCUUGAUUAAAUUGGAUGAAUCAUUUGAACACAGAACUGCUGAAUGGAAACUGGCUUGGAGUGAUGAAUUCUGAUUGGCAUUGGCAGCUGUACAUUCUUAAGGGGGGAAAAUCUGCAACACUGUUUUUAUCCUGUCACUAUAUCCUGGGUGAUGAAUAUGGUGGCCUCUCAUCAUGACCGCUGAUGAGUCGAUUCAAUGUCUGUGUCAGUUUCAGGAUCAACCGCGUUAACCUGAGGUCAUCUCAAGGAAAACCAUGUGUCUAAAAUGAAGAUUAUUUAGCCACAUACUGCACAAGCAGAGAUACUACUGAUUACCAUAAAGGUCAAAUAUGCACAUUUUGACUGGUGGUAAUGAGUAGUUUUAAAGAUGUUUUAGCCUUUUCUUAAUCUCACAAUGUCACUAGGCUUCUAUUGUUAUGCACCAAAGAAUGUGCCUUUAAUUGUACCAUUUGCCCUAUUGUAGCUUGUACAUAGAGCGAGUAGUAUGAUGUUACUUGUGAUAACCGCCUACUACAUGUCCUAAUAAUUAUUAGCCUUCAGUAAAUUGUACAAUAAGGUAACACUAGUCUGGUAGAACCAAAAGGAGCUUUAAAAAGUCAAAAGCAAUAUUUAAAAGGUUUCAUGUACUAAAGAGGUGAAUAAAACAGGAGGUAUAAAAUAAAUAACUUUCAAGUUCUUUGUCUGAAAAUUAUGUUGGCAUUUGAAAGAAUCCCAGUAGGCUUCAAAUUCUGUAAAUGGAAAAAAAAUACAAUGUCUGCAGAUGCUAUCUUUUAGAUCAUU